GUACCUAAAUAAUAAUGCCGGGGUUUGGGUUCAGCCUCAUUCAGAAUGGAAGGAUUCCGGCAAUCCGAGGAAUUUAAUGAGCAAGCAGCCAGCUAAACAAAAGGAAUGGCGGAUUCAUCCUGACACCCGGGAAAUGCGUGUCGCCUGACGUGACUCUACGGGAGGAUUUCAGGUCUGGCCGGCGUCUCACUUGUAAAAAAUGUGAAGUUUACCUUCCGCCGCCCCGAAAACAAACAUUCGCUCUUUUCUUAUGGAGUGCAGCGAAUAAAAGGUGUUUGUGGUGCUGGGAAGGAUGUCACGCCCAGAGCGCGCUGCGCUUCUCCUUCUAUGGGCUGUGUACACACACCGCUCGCCGUCUACACAACACUGAAUGGGAGAUCUAGACGCACACGCCGCUCGCCGUCUACACAACACUGAAUGGGAGAUCUGGACGCACACGUCGCUCGCCGUCUACACAACAAUAAAUGGGAGAUCUGGACGCACACGCCGCUCGCCGUCUACACAACACUGAAUGGGAGAUCUGGACGCACACGCUGCUCGGCGUCUACACAACACUGAAUGGGAGAUCUGGACGCACACGCCGCUCGCCGUCUACACAACACUGAAUGGGAGAUCUGGACGCACACGCCGCUCGCCGUCUACACAACACUGAAUGGGAGAUCUGGACGCACACGCCGCUCGCCGUCUACACAACAAUGAAUGGGAGAUCUGGACGCACACGCCGCUCGCCGUCUACACAACACUGAAUGGGAGAUCUGGACGCACACGCCGCUCGCCGUCUACACAACACUGAAUGGGAGAUCUGGACGCACACGCCGCUCGCCGUCUACACAACAAUGAAUGGGAGAUCUGGACGCACACGCCGCUCGCCGUCUACACAACACUGAAUGGGAGGUCUGGACGCACACGCCGCUCGCCGUCUACACAACACUGAAUGGGAGAUCUGGACGCACACGCCGCUCGCCGUCUACACAACACUGAAUGGGAGAUCUGGACGCACGCGGCGCUCGCCGUCUACACAACACUGAAUGGGAGAUCUGGACGCACACGGCGCUCGCCGUCUACACAACACUGAAUGGGAGAUCUGGACGCACACGCCGCUCGCCGUCUACACAACACUGAAUGGGAGAUCUGGACGCACACGGCGCUCGCCGUCUACACAACACUGAAUGGGAGAUCUGGACACACACGCCGCUCGCCGUCUACACAACACUGAAUGGGAGAUCUGGACGCACACGCCGCUCGCCGUCUACACAACACUGAAUGGGAGAUCUGGACGCACACGCCGCUCGCCGUCUACACAACACUGAAUGGGAGAUCUGGACGCACACGUCGCUCGCCGUCUACACAACACUGAAUGGGAGAUCUGGACGCACACGCCGCUCGCCGUCUACACAACACUGAAUGGGAGAUCUGGACGCACACGCCGCUCGCCGUCUACACAACACUGAAUGGGAGAUCUGGACGCACACGCCGCUCGCCGUCUACACAACACUGAAUGGGAGAUCUGGACGCACACGCCGCUCGCCGUCUACACAACACUGAAUGGGAGAUCUGGACGCACACGCCGCUCGCCGUCUACACAACACUGAAUGGGAGAUCUGGACGCACACGCCGCUCGCCGUCUACACAACACUGAAUGGGAGAUCUGGACGCACACGCCGCUCGCCGUCUACACAACACUGAAUGGGAGGUCUGGACGCACACGCCGCUCGCCGUCUACACAACACAGAAUGGGAGAUCUGGACGCACACGGCGCUCGCCGUCUACACAACACUGAAUGGGAGAUCUGGACGCACACGCCGCUCGCCGUCUACACAACACUGAAUGGGAGAUCUGGACGCACACGCCGCUCGCCGUCUACACAUCACUGAAUGGGAGAUCUGGACGCACACGCCGCUCGCCAUCUACACAACAAUAAAUGGGAGGUCUGGACGCACACGCCGCUCGCCGUCUACACAACACUGAAUGGGAGAUCUGGACGCACACGCCGCUCGCCGUCUACACAACACUGAAUGGGAGAUCUGGACGCACACGCUGCUCGCCGUCUACACAACACUGAAUGGGAGAUCUGGACGCACACGCCGCUCGCCGUCUACACAACACUGAAUGGGAGAUCUGGACGCACACGCCGCUCGCCGUCUACACAACACUGAAUGGGAGAUCUGGACGCACACGCCGCUCGCCGUCUACACAACACUGAAUGGGAGAUCUGGACGCACACGCCGCUCGCCGUCUACACAACAAUGAAUGGGAGAUCUGGACGCACACGCUGCUCGCCGUCUACACAACACUGAAUGGGAGAUCUGGACGCACACGCCGCUCGCCAUCUACACAACACUAAAUGGGAGAGCUGGACGCACACGCCACUCGCCGUCUACACAACACUGAAUGGGAGGUCUGGACGCACACGCCGCUCGCCGUCUACACAACACUGAAUGGGAGAUCUGGACGCACACGCCGCUCGCCGUCUACACAACACUGAAUGGGAGAUCUGGACGCACACGCCGCUCGCCGUCUACACAACACUGAAUGGGAGAUCUGGACGCACACGCCGCUCGCCGUCUACACAACAAUGAAUGGGAGAUCUGGACGCACACGCUGCUCGCCGUCUACACAACACUGAAUGGGAGAUCUGGACGCACACGCCGCUCGCCAUCUACACAACACUAAAUGGGAGAGCUGGACGCACACGCCACUCGCCGUCUACACAACACUGAAUGGGAGAUCUGGACGCACACGGCGUUCGCCGUCUACACAACAAUGAAUGGGAGAUCUGGACGCACACGCCGCUCGCCGUCUACACAACACUGAAUGGGAGAUCUGGACGCACACGGCGCCGUGUUGUUUUUGGUUCACACGAAAAGACGAUGUGUGAUUAUUGUAUCCUCUCCACACCCGCCGCACACCAAACAGCCGGGU